GUGCCAGCAGCCGCGGUAAUACGUAGGUGGCGAGCGUUACUCGGAAUUACUAGGCGUAAAGCGCAGGUAGGCGGUUGGGCAAGUCCGUAAUGAAAUCUCCCGGCUUAACUGGGAGGGGUUUAGGGAUACUGCCUGACUCGAGUGUGGGAGAGGUAACUGGAAUUCCCGGUGUAGCGGUGAAAUGCGUAGAGAUCGGGAGGAACACCUAUGGCGAAAGCAGGUUACUGGACCAAUACUGACGCUGAGCUGCGAAAGCUAGGGGAGCAAACAGGAUUAGAUACCCUCGUAGUCC
rnacentral:rRNA from 1 species